AAAGCGGUAUCGUAAGUCCUGGUGACCCUGACCGUUCGGAGAACGGGAUAGGCCACACUGCGAUGUGUGAGCGGGGAAGGGCGGCUGCAAUGCGCGCCCGGCAGACUGAAAUCGGGGCCCAGGGAGAGCCGCUUU
rnacentral:sRNA from 12 species